GGGUCGUUAGCUCAGUUGGUAGAGCAGUUGGCUUUUAACCAAUUGGUCGUAGGUUCGAAUCCCACACGACCCACCA
rnacentral:tRNA from 1152 species